rnacentral:pre_miRNA from 1 species
UACAAUGUUUUAACUUUUUAUUUUAUUUAAAUUUUUUUUGCAAUUAGCAUUUUUAUUUUUGCUCAAUGAUAAAACAUGAAUAGAACUCUAUGCGUGACUAAUUUUUUAUGUUUUUCUACAAAUUUUUCAAAUAAGAUGAACGAUCAAACGUUCGGCACGG